AUUGAACGCUAGCGGGAUGCUUUACACAUGCAAGUCGAACGGAGUGGCGGACGGGUGAGUAAUAUAUCGGAACGUGCCCAGUAGCGGGGGAUAACUACUCGAACGGGUGGCUAAUACCGCAUACUAUUAGAUCGGCCCAUAUCGGAUUAGCUAGUUGGUGGGGUAAAGGCUCACCAAGGCCACGAUCCGUAGCUGGUUUGAGAGGAUGACCAGCCACACUGGGACUGAGACACGGCCCAGACUCCUACGGGAGGCAGCAGUGGGGAAUAUUGGACAAUGGGGGAAACCCUGAUCCAGCCAUCCCGCGUGUAUGAGGAAGGCCUUCGGGUUGUAAAGUACUUUUGGCAGAGAAGCGGUACCUGCAGAAGAAGCACCGGCUAACUACGUGCCAGCAGCCGCGGUAAUAC
rnacentral:rRNA from 1 species